CAUGGUUCACGUGAUAGUCAGUUUUCUUUGACUGUAAAUCUGUCAGCCAGAGAGCUUUAAGAUUAGCCCACAGGCAAGCCAAUAGGGUAUCUCUGGGAGACAAUUUGAAAAAUUUGGUAAGACUAUGGAGCCUGUCCCACCCUUCAGGUGUCCCUAGAGCUUUGGGAAGGCAAACAGAGACUGAGAUCUGAGGAUUGCAGUUCACAGGCAG